CCGGUAAACGGCGGCCGUAACUAUAACGGUCCUAAGGUAGCGAAAUUCCUUGUCGGGUAAGUUCCGACCUGCACGAAUGGCGUAAUGAUGGCCAGGCUGUCUCCACCCGAGACUCAGUGAAAUUGAACUCGCUGUGAAGAUGCAGUGUACCCGCGGCAAGACGGAAAGACCCCGUGAACCUUUACUAUAGCUUGACACUGAACAUUGAGCCUUGAUGUGUAGGAUAGGUGGGAGGCUUUGAAGUGUGGACGCCAGUCUGCAUGGAGCCGACCUUGAAAUACCACCCUUUAAUGUUUGAUGUUCUAACGUUGGCCCCUGAUCGGGGUUGCGGACAGUGUCUGGUGGGUAGUUUGACUGGGGCGGUCUCCUCCUAAAGAGUAACGGAGGAGCACGAAGGUUGGCUAAUCCUGGUCGGACAUCAGGAGGUUAGUGCAAUGGCAUAAGCCAGCUUGACUGCGAGCGUGACGGCGCGAGCAGGUGCGAAAGCAGGUCAUAGUGAUCCGGUGGUUCUGAAUGGAAGGGCCAUCGCUCAACGGAUAAAAGGUACUCCGGGGAUAACAGGCUGAUACCGCCCAAGAGUUCAUAUCGACGGCGGUGUUUGGCACCUCGAUGUCGGCUCAUCACAUCCUGGGGCUGAAGUAGGUCCCAAGGGUAUGGCUGUUCGCCAUUUAAAGUGGUACGCGAGCUGGGUUUAGAACGUCGUGAGACAGUUCGGUCCCUAUCUGCCGUGGGCGCUGGAGAACUGAGGGGGGCUGCUCCUAGUACGAGAGGACCGGAGUGGACGCAUCACUGGUGUUCGGGUUGUCAUGCCAAUGGCACUGCCCGGUAGCUAAAUGCGGAAAAGAUAAGUGC
rnacentral:rRNA from 1 species